AUUGGACUAAGCAGUUGAAGAUGAGUGAGUGAGCUCUUUAUCAUAUACCGUAUUUUUCGGGCUAUAAGUCACACUUUUUUACAUGUUUUGGCCGGGGGUGCGACCUAUACUCCAGAGCGACUUAUAAAUGAAAAAUAUACCGGUAGAUUCUCAGUUAAUUUACCGUAAUAAAACAAUUUUACAUGACAGAGUC